AAGGGGAGAGUUUUUCUGCGGGGAAGAUGAAGACAUUUUCUCUCAGGAAAGAGUCCCCCUACA
rnacentral:pre_miRNA from 1 species